UGGGGAAUAUUGGACAAUGGGCGCAAGCCUGAUCCAGCAAUGCCGCGUGAGUGAUGAAGGCCUUAGGGUUGUAAAGCUCUUCCGCACGCGACGAUGAUGACGGUAGCGUGAGAAGAAGCCCCGGCUAACUUCGUGCCAGCAGCCGCGGUAAUACGAAGGGGGCUAGCGUUGUUCGGAAUUACUGGGCGUAAAGGGCGCGUAGGCGGCCUGUUUAGUCAGAAGUGAAAGCCCCGGGCUCAACCUGGGAAUAGCUUUUGAUACUGGCAGGCUUGAGUUCCGAGAGGAUGGUGGAAUUCCCAGUGUAGAGGUGAAAUUCGUAGAUAUUGGAAGAACACCGGUGGCGAAGGCGGCCAUCUGGACGGACACUGACGCUGAGGCGCGAAAGCGUGGGGAGCAACAGGAUUAGAUACCCUGGUAGUCCACGCCGUAAACGAUGAAUGCUAGACGUCGGGGUGCAUGCACUUCGGUGUCGCCGCUAACGCA
rnacentral:rRNA from 1 species